AAAAGAAACCAACAGGGAUUGCCUCAGUAACGGCGAGUGAAGCGGCAACAGCUCAAAUUUGAAAUCCGGCCCCCCCCCGGGGCCCGAGUUGUAAUUUGCAGAGGGUGUUUCGGGCGCGGCGCGGGUCUAAGUUCCUUGGAACAGGACGUCGGAGAGGGUGAGAAUCCCGUACGCGACCCGCAACCGAGCCCGUGUGAAACCCCUUCGACGAGUCGAGUUGUUUGGGAAUGCAGCUCAAAAUGGGUGGUAAAUUUCAUCUAAAGCUAAAUACCGGCCAGAGACCGAUAGCGCACAAGUAGAGUGAUCGAAAGAUGAAAAGCACUUUGGAAAGAGAGUCAAACAGUACGUGAAAUUGUUGAAAGGGAAGCGCUUGCGGCCAGACCUGCCCCCGGGCGAUCAGCCGCUAUUCGUAGCGGUGCACUCGCCUCGGGAACAGGCCAGCAUCGGUUCGGGCGGCGGGAGAAAGUGCCCGGGAACGUAGCUUCCUCCGGGGAGUCUUAUAGCCCGGGCUGCCAUGCCGCCCGCCCGGACCGAGGACCGCGCCUUCGGCUAGGAUGCUGGCGUAAUGGCCGUAAGCGACCCGUCUUGAAACACGGACCAAGGAGUCUAACAUCCAUGCGAGUGUUUGGGUGUGAAACCCACGCGCGGAAUGAAAGUGAACGGAGGUGGGACCCCGGAAGGGUGCACCAUCGACCGAUCCAGAAGUCUUCGGAUGGAUUUGAGUACGAGCAUGGCUGUUGGGACCCGAAAGAUGGUGAACUAUGCGUGGAUAGGGUGAAGCCAGAGGAAACUCUGGUGGAGGCUCGCAGCGGUUCUGACGUGCAAAUCGAUCGUCAAAUCUGCGCAUAGGGGCGAAAGACUAAUCGAACCAU
rnacentral:rRNA from 1 species